AUUGCUUGUCAGAAAUAAAGAUGCUUAUCUAUUCUUAUUAGCUUAAUGUCUGAUACACUUCCCAGAGUCAGAAUGUUAAUCUGAUUUUUGGAACUUGAUAGAGUUGCCAUUAGCUCGCUCCUCCCCCGUCAGGGAUUGGUCCGGUAUUGCAGUGCCGCUAGGAAUAGCUCAACGAUU